AGCGCUCAAUCGAGAACCACUCAUUCGUUUUUAAUAAAAAUGUUUUUUUUUACGUUACCGCAACAGCGAGUCUCUGCGAGCUUACGUGUAGCUUAUGUGUAGGCUAGGCUAAGCUACAGUUAGCUGCUUAUUAGCUAGCUCUCCCUGUGAGCCUUAACGUUACAGUAUUUCUAAAGACGAAUGGUGAAAUAAUACUGGUUUAUUUAGAAUCUAGCUUCCUAGCUGUCCCUAGCGUAUCCUUGAUUUGGCUAAACAAAUGCGUGUUUUUCCUUGUUUUCUAUUGAAACUCCGUGCAUCCUGUGUGUUUUCUGCAAUUAACACCCAUAAUAAAAUUUAAGAAUCUAAACAGUUUAAGUCACUGUCAGAUUAGUUUGGAUAUUAUGUAAAUAACUUCCAUAUGAUACUAAAAUUGUAAACAAUGUCCUCCAAUUUACUUAUCCUGUGACCUUAAAAAAGAAAAUUCGUCUCAAACAUUUGAUUUUAGAUGUUGGAAUGAAAUUGUACACACGUAUUUCAUGAGUGAUUUUCAUGAUCGGGUUAGGAUACAUAGUUGUUUAGUAGUUUUUGUUAAUUAUUGUUAAUUAGUAAAAUAAUAUUGAUCAAAUGAGGAGAUGUUGGGGUUUUCAUACAUCUGCAAAAUUCCAUAAAUGCUCUUUAGAUGUAUAACAAUGUAGAGCUGCAACAUUUCUUCUAAGCUUCUUGCUAAAUGUUUUAAUUCAAUUGCAUCUUAAUAUCUCUGGAGUUAAUACCAGAGGAUGGGAAGUAACGGAAGUACUAAUACUUAAGUAGUUUUUUUAGGUAUCUGUACUUGAGUAUUUUUUUUCUGACAACUUUUUACUCCCUACAUUUGAGCCUAAAUAUCUGUACUUUCUACUCCUUACAUUUUCAAAAUGGUCUCGUUACUUCGACAUUUCCCUCUCGUACUGCACGUAUUACACGUAUGUCGAUGGCGUCAUUACGUAACUGUCGGAACAAAACAGAGGGAAAAAAAUCAAUGGUGCGGCGAGGAGUCCGGUGGGAGCGCGGUUUGAGACCCAGAAGAACACUAACUAACAACAUGGAUGAUGACAGUGGCCUGAGAAAUGCUGCAGGUUUGGAGGAGCGAUGCAUUCAUCAUCCUUGGCCUUAUUUAAAAUAACUCUUUAACGUUGUUGGCUCCAAGAACGAUUCGUGGCGGAUGCGCUGUGUUUUGUGCCAGCCUAAAAAACCUCGAGCUUCUGGCGUUUUAAGAAUUCACCAUCAAAUCUGAAAAAACACGUACAGAGGAAGCACGCAAAUCACCUGGAAAGGUAUAACGAGCUAACAUCGCCCAGUCUGAAGCGGAAAUUGAACACCGACAACAGAGGCCCAAACAAACAACUAAAAUUGUGGGAAACCAAGAGAGUUUCACAAAAAAGCAUGGAUGAUGCCAUCAUUAACUUUGUUGUACAAGGUCUGCACCCGCUCAGUGUUGUCGAACAGGAGGGUUUCAAAACUUGUGCAUCACCUACAACCAGAUGUGACUGUAAUGUCACGAGGCACCAUAAAGAACAAAGUUGAGAAAGUAACACUGGAAAUGAAGAAAAAUCUAAAGGCUGCUUUGAAUGUGGUUGAGCACAUUGCUACCACCACAGACUGCUGGACUGCACACAGACGAAGUUUCAUCGGUGUCACAGCACACUGGAUAGAGCCUGAAACCAUGGGAAGAUGCUCUGCUGCACUAGCAUGCAAACAGCUCAAAGGGCCGCACACAUUUUCUGCACUCGCUGUUGCACUAAACGACAUACAUACAGUGCACUAAAAAUUUCAAUGUUGACUCCUGCUAAGACAGAAUAUGCGAUGAGUCCAUUUGCAAAGGCGGUUGAUGUUCUUCAGGGAGAGGCCAGUGUGCAAAUGGGAUGGCUGGUACCCACAAUAACACUACUCAAGAAAAAGCUUCAGCACCUUCGACCUUCCUCCAAGUUCUGUGGGCCUUUGAUAGAUGCUCUUCAAGGAGGACUUGAAAAAAGCGUUUCCAACAGAUGCUUGCUGAUCCAGAGCUCAUUGCUGCAGCUAUUCUUGUCCCCAAGUUCAGGAACUGUUGGACACGUGACAACAGUACCCUGAAUCUUGGUCUUGGCAACCCGUGGUGCAGCCAGGCAACACGUCCUUUUCUUCAGAGGAGGAGGACUUCUUUUUCACCAUCAGGCAGGGCAAGAAUCAGGAAAACGCCAAGCAGCUGGAGUCCUACCUGGCCUGUCCAUCAGAUUCUAUGGAUAUCUUGAAAUCUUUUCCAGCAGUAUGCAAUUUAUCACUGAAGCUGAACACACCUCUGCCUGCCUCAACUGCUUGUGAGAGGCUUUUCAGCACUGCAGGACUCAUUUUCAGACUCAAAAGGGCACAGGUUGAUGCAAAGAACUUCUGAUGAAGCUCAAUAAGUGUUUUAGUCUCAAACAGUCAAUUCCUCUAAAAAGGAAAUAAUACUUUUGAAGUGACUUUGAUUCCAUGAUCACAAUGUUUUAAGUCAAGUUGCCGAAAAAACUAUUGCAGUUAAAUGCUCCCAUAUGUGGUGAUAGCAACAACAUUAAUAGCAUCAUAUCUCCAGGAAUUGUUGUGUUGUUGAAAUAAACUUCUCAUUCUAAACCAGAUGCUUUUUUUCCUGUUAUUUAAUGUUUAAUUUUUUUACCUUUUACUUUUUGUACUUAAGUACUUUUUAGAGCCUGUAUUUUUUACUUUUACUUAAGUAAAUAAAUUCGCUCAGUACUUUCACUUUUACCAGAGUAGUUUUUUUUACUCAGGUAUCUGUACUUCUACUUAAGUAAAGAACGUCGGUACUUUUGCCAUCUCUGGUUAAUGAUGUUAGCUAGUUUGUUCCUGCAAAUAAAUUUGUUGUUUAAUGUUAAUGGUUUACAAUCCCACUGCUACCAAUAAAAGUAUCUAAUGCAAUUGUCUAAACCUCUUUAUUGAAUAAAGAUUACAUGUCGAAA